GUACGGGUUGUGAGAGCAAGAGCCCGGAGAUGGAUUCUGAGACACGAAUCCAGGCCCUACGGGGUGCAGCAGGCGCGAAAACUUUACAAUGCUGGCAACAGCGAUAAGGGAACCUCGAGUGCCAGGUUACAAAUCUGGCUGUCGAGAUGCCUAAAAAGCAUUUCAUAGCAAGGGCCGGGCAAGACCGGUGCCAGCCGCCGCGGUAACACCGGCGGCUCGAGUGGUAACCGUUAUUAUUGGGUCUAAAGGGUCUGUAGCCGGCCGGAUAAGUCUCUUGAGAAAUCUGGCAGCUUAACUGUCAGGCUUUCAGGAGAUACUGUCUGGCUCGAGGCCGGGAGAGGUGAGAGGUACUUCAGGGGUAGGGGUGAAAUCUUGUAAUCCUUGAAGGACCACCAGUGGCGAAGGCGUCUCACCAGAACGGACCUAACGGCAAGGGACGAAAGCUAGGGGCACGAACCGGAUUAGAUACCCGGGUAGUCCUAGCCGUAAACGAUACUCGCUAGGUGUCGGCCACGGUGCGACCGUUGUCGGUGCCGUAGGGAAGCCGUGAAGCGAGC
rnacentral:rRNA from 1 species